rnacentral:rRNA from 1 species
CGAAAGCCUGACGGAGCAAGACCGCGUGAGGGAGGAAGGCUCUUGGGUUGUAAACCUCUUUUCUCAGGGAAGAAGCUCUGACGGUACCUGAGGAAUCAGCCUCGGCUAACUCCGUGCCAGCAGCCGCGGUAAUACGGAGGAGGCAAGCGUUAUCCGGAAUUAUUGGGCGUAAAGCGUCCGCAGGUGGCGAUUCAAGUCUGCUGUCAAAGCACGGGGCUUAACUCCGUUAAGGCAGUGGAAACUGAAUAGCUAGAGUGCCGUAGGGGUAGAGGGAAUUCCCGGUGUAGCGGUGAAAUGCGUAGAGAUCGGGAAGAACAUCGGUGGCGAAAGCGCUCUACUGGACGGCAACUGACACUCAGGGACGAAAGCUAGGGGAGCG